rnacentral:lncRNA from 1 species
ACAGUUAAAGAAAUUCUCGAAAAUUUAACAGUUAAGGGAGCCCUCGGCUCAGAACAAGGUAAACAUAGUGGGGAAACUCCCGGGAUACCGUCCCGUAGUUCCAAAUAAAUAUGCAGUACAUGGGGGAUCUCCCGGAAUACGUUCGUAGUCCCAAAGUAAAUAUGCACUGCUGGGGGAUCUCCGAAAUACGUCUGUAGUCCCAAAGUAAAUAUGCAAUGCUGGGGGAUCUCCCGGAAUACGUCCGUAGUCCCAAAGUAAAUAUGCAGUACAGGAGGAUCUCCCGAAAUACGUCCUUAGUCCCAAAGUAAAUAUGCAGUACAGGGAGAUCUCCCGAAAUACGUCUGUAGUCCCAAUUUAAAUAUGCAAUGCAAGAUGAAAUGGCAGGUAAGUCAUCGAGUUAUACAGUUUAUACUGGACACAGAUAAGGGAAAUAGGGACUUAAUUAAGCAUGAUGCACAGAAUGUCAAUUAGGCAGUUAAAACACGUAAGCAUGCUUCUCUAAUCUACGUUUAACAAUUAAACGUAUCAGUGCAAUUAAAUAAGGAAAAACAGUUUAUGAUUUAGAAAGGAAAAACGGGAUUUUUGCAAUAAUAGCAUGUGUACGUACUCGUCACCUCACGUACACGGCGCCCACACAUCAAUUAAUAUCAAACAUCCUAAGGGAAAGUCCCCAACACAAGAUUAGGCAAGCAACUUACCUCGAACCGCUCAAAUCAACUCGAUAUCACGUUCUUGCCACGAGUAUCCGACUCCAAAUGGCCCGAAUCUAUUCAAAUUAAUUGCAUAAUGUAAAUAUAACUAAAAGUAAUUAAUUUAGCUAAUUAAUUCGAAGCUAAAGCGUGAAAUUAGAAAAAAUGUCCAAAAUAUCUCCCUAGGCCCACGUCUCGAAAUCGGGUAAAAAUUACAAAAUACGAACACCCAUUCACUCACGAGUCUAACCAUAUAAAAAUUUCUCAAAUCCAACCACAAAUCCCCCUUCAAAACUCGAAAUCUUUGUUGGAGAAGUUCUUCCAAAUUUUUCCUAAUUUCAACCCCAAAAUCCGAAAAUAAAUGAUGCAAUCAACCAUAGAUUAGUAGAAUAUAAACAUAAAGGAGUUAGGAAUCAUUACCCAAAAACUUCCUCCGAAAAUCUCUCCAAAUUUCACCUUCUACCGAGCUCUCAAUCAAAUUUUUGUGUUAUGAACUCAACCCUAGUUUUAGAACCUUAAAUUCUGCCCAGGUGCAUUCUUCUUCGCGAACGCGACAUCACGAUCGCGAACGCGAUGAACAAUCUUCCACUGGCCCAAAAUUCCUCUUUCGCGAACGCGAGGGGACUCUCGCGAACGCGUACCUUCCACUGACGGACCUUUCGCGAACGCGGGAACCUCUUCGCAAAUGCGUAGGCUUAAUGCCCGAAGCUUCCUCUGCCUCGUUCCUCUACGGGAACGCGAGGACCAUAUCGCGAACACGUAGGCUUAAGGUCCCACACCUUCGCGAACGCGGGAACAACAUCGCGAACGCGAAGAACAACUUCGCUGCCUUUCCCAUAAGCUCUACGCAAUCGCGAGGCACCUCUCGCGAAUGCGAUGAAGGAUUUUUCUGCAAUAAAACACCAGAAAUCUGCUACUUCUCUAAGUCCCAAGAUGACUCGUUGAGCAUCCGAAACACACCCGAGGCCCCCGGGACCUCGACCAAACAUACCAACCAAUCCCAAAAUAUCAUACGAACUUAGUCGAGCUCUCAAAUCACAUCAAACAACGCUAAAAUCACGAAUCACCCUCCAAUUCAAACUUAAAGAACUUGAAAUUUCAAAAUUAUACAACUGAUGCCGAAACCUAUCAAAUCACGUCCGAUUGACCUCAAAUUUUGCGCACAAGUCAUAAUCAACAUUACGAACCUACUCCAACUUCCGGAAUCGAAAAACAACCCCGAUAUCAAAAAUUCCACUACCAGCCCAAAACUCCAAAAAUUCAACUUUCGCCAUUUCAAGCCUAAAUGAGCUACGAACCUCCAAAACACAAUCCGAAUACGUCCCUACACCCAAAAUCACCUAACGGAGCUAACGUAACCGGCGAAAUUUCAUUCUGUAGUCGUCUUUGAAUUUCCGGAGUCGUCUUCACACAGUUCCGACUACGGUCCAAAUCCUAAGGUUUAAGCUCUCAUUUAGGGACUAAGUGUCCCAAAACACUCCGAAACUCAAAACCAAUCAUCCCGACAAGUCACAAUACCAGAAAUAGAUAUGGGGAAAGCAGUUAAUAGAGGUUCAGGGCUCUAACUCUCAAAAUGACCGGCCGGGUCGCUAUAAUCUGGCAAUCACAUUAAAAGUUAUAGUUGUACUUUAACCCUGAAUCUGGCAUAACAACUAGCCUUAAUCGUUUUAUUACUUUGUUUAAUUAAUUCGCUAGUAGCAUGUUUAGGCCGACAACACUCGGGUAGGAAAACUUUAGGUCUUUUUUUUUCUUUUAUUCGAAGUGAGAGGUCGUUCCCUUUAGUUUAUAUUCAGGGGAAUGCCCUAUAGACUUUAUAAAUAUUUUUAUCAGGGGAAUGCCCCGAAGUGAAUGUAACUGGAGGCCGUGACGGACAUCGUGGAGUGAGCAUAUCAUAGAAUUUAGUAUUUUCAUCUUAUUUUACUUUCUCUUAUUUAGGUGGGGACAACCUCGAGCCUCUUGUGUGUUUAUUUUUCUUUCGUGUAUUUUUUUUUACCUCAAUUCAAAUAUUCUUUAAAGCCAAUUUGAUCAUGUAUGCAACCGUACUAGUUACGGGACUCGGAGAAUGCCUAACACCUUCUCCUCGAGUCAAAUGAACCCCCUUACUUGGAACUUCUGGUGCAGGCAGUUUUAGAGUCAAAUGUGUUCUAAAGGAAAAUUAUUAUUUUAAAAAAUGGUGACCUGGCACACCGAAACCAAAUGUCAGGUGGCGACUCUGAAAAAUCCUUUGAAACACAGUCUUUUGUCACUUUUCAAAUUGAAUAACCCUUUCGAGCUUUAAAAUCACCUUUACUAUUUUAAAGGGGUUGUUAAGGAGGAAAAAAAGGGGUGUGAUAGCUUUGGCGACUCUGCUGGGGAAACACUCAACCCUCUUAAAAAAGAUAUAAAGAAGAUUUUUAAAGCUCAAAAGGGUUUUAAUUUGAAAAGUGACAAAAGAUUGUGUUUUAAAAGAUUGUUCAGAGUCGCCACCUGCAUUUGAUUUCGGUGUGUCAGGUCACCGUUUAAAAAUAAUUUUUCUUUUAAAACAUGUUUGACUCUAAAACUAACUGCACCAGAGAUUCUAGAAAAGGGGGUUCAUUUGACUCAGGAAAAAGGUGUUAGACAUUUCCUGAGUCCCGUGAAGGUCACGGUUGCGUACAUGAUCAAGUCGGCUUUUACAAUAUUCGAAUUGAGGUCAAAACACAGAAAAAGAAAAAUAAACACAAAAGAGGCUCGAGGUCGUCCCUACCUAAUAAAAGAAAAAUAAGAGAAAAGAAAAUAAAGUACUAAGAGAAAAUAUGCUAAGAGUUCUAAUCUAUCCUACACUAUGCUUCCUCCACGAUCUAGCCUCGGCCACCAUUUACAUUCACUUCGAAGCAUACCCCGGAUAAAAAUAUAUACAAACUCUUCGGGACAUUCCCCUGGUGCAUUAAUUGACUAAAGGGGCGACAUCUUACCUCAAAAGAAACUGAAACACGAACGUCCUAAAGGUUUGCCUACCCAAAUGUGGUCGGCCUAAACAUGCUACUAGCGAUCAAAAUGAUGAAAUAAAAGUAAAAUUAAUACUAAACCCAAUUCAUAUGUGUAAACUGUGACCAAAGCUCAAACCCGUUUAAUUCUCACAAUUAACCAGAUUCCUAUCUCAUCCAAAAUCACUCCCACGACCCAACUAAUGUCCAUUCCUUUAUCCUUCUAUAAUUAAUGAAUUGAUGUUCUGUCUUCAUUAACUACCCAUCACAUACAUGGAAUUAACUGAAUAGAGUAAUCAACCAACCAUUUAGAAGCAAACCAAAGAGUUAAAUGGUAAACAACGAAGAAUAUAAUGCUCGCCUCUUUAUCUUAGCUAAUACAGUAAUAUUUCAAGUCUAAAACCAGUUGGAUUCCUAGCGAAGAAGGCGAAAUCAUUCGAACUCACUUAACUAUAACUCAUGAAUUACUUACGUAGCAAAACAACGAAGAAGCAAUCGAAACAAAAACAGAUAUUAGAAAUAAGAAAACAUAAAUAGAAAUCAAGUAGGAUUAGUGAAGAAAAAUUAACCUCAGCAAGCUUUCCUUUCUAUUAACGAGAAUUCAGUUACAACGAACCCGGCGAUUGAAAUCUGGCUGAAAAACGCAGCAGCAGGAGAUUGAUCCGUGGACCAUGAAAAUAACCUCGAACGGCAUCAACGGAUUGAACCUUACCGGAAAAUCAAAUAAUCGACGCGAUCCGAAAUCCGACGAACUGAACACGAUCUCUUAGAAUUCAAUUUGCCGUCACUGUACUGCCGAAACUACUACUUUUCUUGACUUUUAGGAUUGAAUAUAAAUACUACUCCUCUCCUAAUCCAAUUUGUUCAUGGUAAGGUAAACCAAUGAAUAUUGGAAAGCCCCAACUAGGUUGCUGUUGUCAAACCCAUCAAAUUCUUUUUGUAUCGUCCUUCUUCUGUUGCUAGGGAUUUUCUCAAUCCCUGCCGAUUUUUAGGAAGAUGAGGGUCUGGCCG